rnacentral:rRNA from 1 species
GAUGAACGCUGGCGGCGUGCCUAAUACAUGCAAGUCGAGCGAACAGACGAGGAGCUUGCUCCUCUGAUUUUAACUGCGGACGGGUGAGUAACCCGUGGAUAACCUAACUAUUAGACUAGCAUCCCUUCGGGAAACCGUAGCUACUACCGGAUAACAUGUUGAACCGCUUGGUUCUACAGUGAAAGUCGGUCUUGCUUUCACUUAUCGAUGGAUCCGCGCCGCAUUAGCUAGUUGGUAAGGUAACGGCUUACCACGGCAACGAUGCGAAGCCGACCGGAGCGGGUGGUCGGCCACACGGGAAGGGAGGCACGGUGCAGACACCUAAGGGAGGAAGCAGUAGGGAAUCUUCCGCAAUGGGCGAAAGCCGGACGGAGCAACGCCGCGUGAGUGAAGAAGGAGUGCGGAGCGGAAAGCUCUGUUAUUAGGGAAGAACAAAUGUGUAAGUAACUAUGCACGUCUUGACGGUACCUAAGCAGAAAGCCACGGCUAACUACGUG